GUGUCAGCCGCCGCGGUAAUACAGAGGUCCCAAGCGUUGUUCGGAUUUACUGGGCGUAAAGGGUGCGUAGGUGGCGGGGUAAGUCGGAUGUGAAAUCUCCAGGCUCAACCUGGAAAUGGCAUUGGAAACUACCUUGCUGGAGAGUUGGAGGGGGGACUGGAAUACUUGGUGUAGCAGUGAAAUGCGUAGAUAUCAAGUGGAACACCAGUGGCGAAGGCGAGUCCCUGGACAACUUCUGACGCUGAGGCACGAAAGCUAGGGGAGCAAACAGGAUUAGAAACCCCUGUAGUCC
rnacentral:rRNA from 1 species